ACAAACUUGGUCAUUUAGAGGAAGUAAAAGUCGUAACAAGGUCUCCGUUGGUGAACCAGCGGAGGGAUCAUUAAAGAGUUCUAUAACUCCCAAACCCAUGUGAACAUACUGUACGUUGCCUCGGCGGGCGGCGCCUACCCCGUAGCGUCCUACCCUGUAGGACCUACCCGGUAGACGCGGGUAAGCCCGCCGACGGCCCACGCAAACUCUGUUUCGUAAUGAGUUCUGAACCUAUGUAAAUAAGUUAAAACUUUCAACAACGGAUCUCUUGGUUCUGGCAUCGAUGAAGAACGCAGC
rnacentral:misc_RNA from 1 species